rnacentral:rRNA from 1 species
UGCGACCUCAGAGCAGGUGAGACUACCCGCUG